rnacentral:rRNA from 1 species
AUUGAACGCUGGCGGCAGGCCUCACACCUGCAAGUCGAGCGAGCGGCGGACGGGUGAGUAAUGUAUGGGGACUGCCCGAUAGAGGGGGAUAACUACUGGAAACGGUGGCUAAUACCGCAUACUAUCCGAUAACCCAUAUGGGAUUAGCUGGUUGGUGGGGUAAAGGCCCACCUAGGCGACGAUCUCUAGCUGGUCUGAGAGGAUGAUCCGCCAGACUGGAACGGAGACACGGACCAGACUCCUACGGAGGCAGCAGUGGGGAAUAUUGCACAAGGGGCGAAAGCCGGAUGCAGCCAUGCCGCGUGUAUGAAGAAGGCCUUAGGGUUUUAAAGUACUUUCAGCGGGGAGGCGUUACCCGCAGAAGAAGCACCGGCUAACUCCGUGCCAGCAGCCGCGGUAAUAC